AUGCCCGGCGGAGGUGUUCGAAGCUUCCUGCACCACCAGUCUGCUUCAUCUCCUCCUUUCCUUCGCAUGCCCGACCUCCUCGCUAUACGCCGCCCGGGAGGGCUCGUGCUCGCUGCUCGACCAGAGCCACCGCCAGCCGGUCGUCGCUGCACUUGCCCGCGACCACUGCGCCCCCUCUACACUGCCCUCCACCUCAACUUCAGAAGCACACGUGUUUGUGGAUGUUCUCAGUUAUUUUUUGCACACAAGGUGUUUGUGUGUUUGUCCGAGCCAGUUUCAGUCACAGAUCCUUUAACUCUCCUUCCAUAUGAUUCAAAAAAUAGUAUGAUGGUGGGAGUUAAUUGGGUUACUAAAAUAAUGGGUUGCUAA
rnacentral:rRNA from 1 species